GACGAGCGCUGGCGGCGUGCUUAACACAUGCAAGUCGAGCGGUAAGGCCCUUUCGGGGGUACGACGAGCGGCGAACGGGUGAGUAACACGUGGGUGACCUGCCCUCAGCUCUGGGAUAAGCCUGGGAAACCGGGUCUAAUACCGGAUAUGACUCCAUGACGCAUGUUGUGGGGUGGAAAGCCUUGUGCGGCUGAGGAUGGGCCCGCGGCCUAUCAGCUUGUUGGUGGGGUGANGGCCUACCAAGGCGACGACGGGUAGCCGGCCUGAGAGGGCGACCGGCCACACUGGGACUGAGACACGGCCCAGACUCCUACGGGAGGCAGCAGUGGGGAAUCUUGCGCAAUGGGCGAAAGCCUGACGCAGCGACGCCGCGUGAGGGAUGACGGCC
rnacentral:rRNA from 1 species